rnacentral:rRNA from 1 species
CCUACGGGAGGCAGCAGUAGGGAAUAUUGCUCAAUGGGGGAAACCCUGAAGCAGCAACGCCGCGUGGAGGAUGAAGGUUUUAGGAUUGUAAACUCCUUUUGUUAGAGAAGAUUAUGACGGUAUCUAACGAAUAAGCACCGGCUAACUCCGUGCCAGCAGCCGCGGGAAUACGGAGGGUGCAAGCGUUACUCGGAAUCACUGGGCGUAAAGAGUGCGUAGGCGGGGUAAUAAGUCAGAUGUGAAAUCCGGUAGCUUAACUACAGAACUGCAUUUGAAACUGUUACUCUGGAGUGUGGGAGAGGUAGGUGGAAUGCUUGGUGUAGGGGUAAAAUCCGUAGAGAUCAAGAAGAAUACUCAUUGCGAAGGCGACCUGCUGGAACAUUACUGACGCUGAUGCACGAAAGCGUGGGGAGCGAACAGGAUUAGAUACCCCUGUAGUC